UCCUGCGAGCGGGAGACACGAGUGCGGCGCAGGCAGUGACCAAGAGUGAUGAGACAGCCCCCGGCCGCCUGGGGGCGGUUCUUUCACGUGCUGUAGACCAUGCCAUUCUGCUAUGACGAGGAUGUGUUCCGAUUACGUGGUUAAUACUAUCACAAUGCAAUAACUGGGAAGAUUACAGAGGGAAGGGACAAUAUGUAAGAUGGGGCAAGGAGGCUGGCUUCUCAUGACGACUUCAUAUAUGAUGCAACACUUAAGAGCUACUACAAAGCUUUUUUUAGGAAGCUACUACAAAACUUUUUUUUCAGAAGCUACUACAAAGCUUUUGUUCAGCAAAUACCAUGACAAGAGCUUGAAGAUUUCAAAGAUACAAAGGGUUAGCAGAAAGAGGAUACACUGAUUUCAUCUGCUGCACUUAAGAGUCGAGUCUCUCCGUAACAGAUGGUCAGAUUUUGAAGGCUCUGUACUCGAAAUCAUAAGGGAAUUUCUUGUUGUUGCAUCCAGGUGCUGGAAUUCCUCGUAGUGGAGUGAAAACAAUUGUCUCUACGCAUGCAACAGCAAGGUGGGAAGUUGUAAUUAUUGUAGGACUUAUUUUCUGAAAGUUGAAGGGAGGUACUACGCAAGUUACAGGCUUUCAAUUCAGCAUGAAACCAAGACACGUGAUAUAUUGGUAAAACAGUUAGGGUGUGAUGAUUCAUGAACAAAAGAUUCAGAAAAUUUGUUGAAUCAUUUAAGGAGCAAGAACAACAAGUAUGUGCUGAAAAAUUAUUUCCCAUGGUUUCUUCACUCUUGGUUAAGGGAUUCUGGCACAUUCCCAAAGUAGCAACUUGUCAAGGGUUCGGGUCGGAACAAAAUUCAAUAUAUGCUGAUGUAUGGAAGAAAAGCAUAUGAAGUUACAAAAGUGGAUUAUUCUCUAUCGUGAACAAAACAUUAUUUGCUUCCCCAACUCUGAUUAAAUCAUCGGUGCAUGGAUUCACUUAACUCACUUGGAUUAUCUGUAGUUGACCCUCCAUUUAGCCAUAGAAAACUUGUUAAUUAUAAAAUAUUUACUUCCUUUUAAAGCAAUUAAUGUAUAGUUGUUCUUACUAUAUUAUCCUCUAUUUUUCUCAGUAUUUCAGAGAGUGUCAUGUGAGUUCAACAUUACUUGUCUAGAGGUAAUUGUCAAAAUUAGCCUCCCGAGUUUGCUUGUGUCGCUCAUGGUAUUUGUUGAAGUAUAAAAGGUGUUGAUUUUACUGAUUACAAUACGAAAACU